rfam:Cavia porcellus supercont2_6 genomic scaffold, whole genome shotgun sequence.
GGGGAUUUAGCUCAGCGGCAUAAGCGCUUGCCUGGCAAGCAUGAGGUUAUGAGUUCAAUUCCCA